rnacentral:rRNA from 1 species
UACGAAGGGGGCUAGCGUUGUUCGGAAUCACUGGGCGUAAAGGGUGCGCAGGCUGGUUCUUAAGUCGGGGGUGAAAUCCCGAGGCUCAACCUCGGAACUGCCUUUGAUACUGGUGACCUUGAGGCCGGAAGAGGUGAGUGGAACUGCGAGUGUAGAGGUGAAAUUCGUAGAUAUUCGCAAGAACACCGGUGGCGAAGGCGGCUCACUGGUCCGGAACUGACGCUGAGGCACGACAGCGUGGGUAGCAAACAGG